CGGCCUCGGGCAGUCCGCUACAGUGUGCUC
rnacentral:sRNA from 1 species